rnacentral:lncRNA from 1 species
GGUGAUGGUGUGGUUAGUGGGAUGGAUUGGUGUAGGUUAGUGGAUGGAUUGGUGUAGGUUAGUAGGAUGGAUUGGUGUGGGUUAGUAGGAUGGAUUGGUGUGGGUUAGUAGGAUGGAUUGGUGUAGGCAUGGGUUAGUGGGAUGGAUUGGUGUAGGUUAGUGGGAUGGAUUGGUGUAGGUUAGUGGGAUGAUUGGUGUAGGUUAGUAGGAUGGAUUUGUGUGGGUUAGGUUAGUAGGAUGGUUGGUGUAGGUUAGUGGGAUG